AUGGCGGACGUCCUCGCCGAGCACCGCAUACAGAUGCCGGCACCGGCGGCGCGUGCCGGCAUGUCCACCGCGCCGGAGAAACUGCUGAAUCGCUUCGUGCACUUGGUCGCUCUGGUUGAAAGGUUUGGCAACGCGCUGGGCACGCUGGCGUUCACGUGGGCAACCGUCGUCCUGCUCGGCGGCUACCCGGCUGAGCUCCGCCGGAAGGAUGACUUCUGGUUUACGAUAACCAUAGUUUUCCUGGAAGCCGCCAGGAUGUUCAGCCGCAACAAUAACCUGGAUUAUCGAUUGUUCUUCCGUUCCAGAGGUUCUUUCAAGUCUCUUAGCUGGAAUGCUAUGAUCUUGGUGUUAUGUUUUUCCAAUGUCCUAGUGUGCAUUCUAAUCUGGAAUAAGUAUGCAACAAUACAAAUACCAGCUUUGCCCUUGGCAGUGCUUGCGAUUAGCCCAUCUCUGUUUCCAGGAGCUGCACGACUACUCAUAUGCAAUCUGCUAUGCCGUGCGAUGUCAUUAUGGAGCCCAGUUGUUGCAGUCCUAUUGCUUGGUCCCUCUGUACCAUAUAGCUUCGAUGAGGAUUUCAACAUUCACAAACUCAGUUUCAAAAACUCAAUCGCCAAGCUGACAAUGUACCUGAUACUAUUUGUGGUCGUGCUCCUAGCGACAAUCAGCAGGCUGCAAUUCCCAGGUAUCAUGAAACUAGUAGACUUGACUCUCGGCAGCAGAAUAAUAUAUUGGCGUCGAGUUAUUCUAAACUUGUGCAUGCUAGCUGCAGUAGCGAUGUUUGUGUUCACUUUUGAAGGGGUCGGAUGGAUUGUGAUUCUCAUAUUAAAAUUAUGUGGCCUAGUAGUAAUAGUGUCAUUCGGAAACCUCCAGAUUCCAGCAGCAGUAUUGCGCAUCGUGCUGGCAUUAGUACGCCUUAAAGCACAAAGCUACUACGGCCAUGAUGAACAUGUUGACAAGAAAAUCCUUGGGGACAAGACAAACCUCGUGCCAUCUCUCAAUAUCUUCUACGGGAUGGUGCUUGGCCAGGGAAUACUUUACAUUGUUGCCUGCAUCCUUGAUGUCUUUUCAUGCAUCCUCCUGAGAUGCCUCGCCCGUGGUGCUAGAUUCAGAGGUCCCCGGGCAGUGGAAUAUGUCAAUUUGUACUAUGCCUAUGCCUUUGAGAAAUGCAUGGAGGGCGCUGUGUUUGCCCGAAAGAAGAUCAGCCUCAUCGCAUUUGCAAUGGAUUCUUUAAAGUCAGACUCACCCAAGAUGCAGCUCUAUGGACUUCACAUGUUGCACAUUUUCCUAAAAAAUGAACCUCUCAAGACCAAAGCCAUCUCAAAACUAGCGACUUCCACGAAGACAGUAACUGUCUUAUUCAACAUGUUGGGCUGGACAAGUGAAGGGGAUGCAAAUAUUAGAUCAUUUGCCGCGAAGGUCAUAGCUGAGCUUGCUGGUAGCCUCCGAGUUGUCUCUGUCCCUGGGGCAAUGCAGCUCAUAGCCUCACUUCUUGAUACUGUUCACCAGCAGAAAAUAAAGGAUCCUCUCCUAGACAUUGGUAGCCUAGAGGCAGAACAAGAUACCCUGAUUCAGCAAGUUGCCAUGGACGAACAGAGGACACCCAUGCUUAAAUGGUUGAAACAGAUGGCAGUAUAUUGUUUGGUUCCAAGGGAGGAGCCAUCUAACAUGGAUGGACAAAACUCAUGUACACUCAGAUGCUGGAAGCAGAUUACCAAAUGCUGGCAUAUUCCAGAGGAGGAGCCAUCAACGGACCAGGAUCUGCUCCCUGUACUGGGCAUGUUAAUUCUUGACACUCUUGCUAGCUUUGAUAUUGAGAACUGUAUAGAAAUCAACAGAUCAACAGGCCUCAUUUCAAAGAUCAUAGAUUUCACAAGCAACAGAACUGACAUGACCAAUAUUAGUGAGAUAGACCAGGCAUUGCUGAAAGGUUCAUCGUUGAAACUGCUGAGAAGACUUGCAAGUACUCAAGGGAAGUUUGGGGUAACUUUGCGACAGGAGAUUUCAGAACAUCCCUUCCUUUUGAGCAACCUUGCAGCGAUCUUGGAAGACAGUGGGAGCAGCCAAGAACUUAGGGAGCUAACAACAGAAAUCCUUAGAAACAUUUCCAUGGAUGCAAACACAAGGGACGAGAUCGGGAAGAUUCGGGUGAUCAUUAGCAGGUUGAUGCAUGCAUUUCUUAACCGAGAAGCAGCCUCAAGUACAUAUUCAGAUAAGUUACGAAAGUCCGCCGGGCAAGCCCUGGCAGUGCUAGCAAUGGACAGUGUGAAUAACUGUUUGGUUAUGUUAGCCGAACCAGGGUAUGUAUUCAUCAAGGAGCUCGCAUUUAUGAUCCAUGGGGACAUGUACAGGUACGUAGCAGCAAGCUUGUUGCGGAGUAUGUGCAUGCAUGCUCAACCUAAGUUCAACAACUCUGAACUGAAGGAGUUCUCUCACAUCUUGCGAGAGGUCUUGGAAGGAAUAAUGGAUGCAGAAGGGGCGGAACUAGAGGUCCUUGCUGGCCUUAGUUCACAAAUAUGCCAUGCCAUUCCUGGAGACUUUGAGCGUGAACUUGAGCAUGGUCAGAUUAAAGAAAGAUUUAUAAACAGACUUGUCUGUGCACUUAACUCAAAUAUGACACCUACUGCUCAUUGUCCGGGAAUCAGGAGGGUGAUAGUUGAACAUGCCAUACACAUAAUGGAGUGCAAUCCUAGCUACACUGACUGUUUUAAUAAAUGCUGGAUGAUGGAAGCACUGCUGCGGGUAGAACAUACACCUUCAAGGGCUGAAAAGUACAGGUUCUUCUUGGGCGAUGCAGGACUGAUGGAGCACAGUGUGCCUCUCUCUGCUCUUGUGGCAAGAGCAAAAGAACUGAUGGGCCGUGAGUGGCGACAAGGCAUCAGCAGUGUCACUGUCACCUAA
rnacentral:rRNA from 1 species